GCAAGUCGAACGAACUCUGGUAUUGAUUGGUGCUUGCAUCAUGAUUUACAUUUGAGUGAGUGGCGAACUGGUGAGUAACACGUGGGAAACCUGCCCAGAAGCGGGGGAUAACACCUGGAAACAGAUGCUAAUACCGCAUAACAACUUGGACCGCAUGGUCCGAGUUUGAAAGAUGGCUUCGGCUAUCACUUUUGGAUGGUCCCGCGGCGUAUUAGCUAGAUGGUGGGGUAACGGCUCACCAUGGCAAUGAUACGUAGCCGACCUGAGAGGGUAAUCGGCCACAUUGGGACUGAGACACGGCCCAAACUCCUACGGGAGGCAGCAGUAGGGAAUCUUCCACAAUGGACGAAAGUCUGAUGGAGCAACGCCGCGUGAGUGAAGAAGGGUUUCGGCUCGUAAAACUCUGUUGUUAAAGAAGAACAUAUCUGAGAGUAACUGUUCAGGUAUUGACGGUAUUUAACCAGAAAGCCACGGCUAACUACGUGCCAGCAGCCGCGGUAAUACGUAGGUGGCAAGCGUUGUCCGGAUUUAUUGGGCGUAAAGCGAGCGCAGGCGGUUUUUUAAGUCUGAUGUGAAAGCCUUCGGCUCAACCGAAGAAGUGCAUCGGAAACUGGGAAACUUGAGUGCAGAAGAGGACAGUGGAACUCCAUGUGUAGCGGUGAAAUGCGUAGAUAUAUGGAAGAACACCAGUGGCGAAGGCGGCUGUCUGGUCUGUAACUGACGCUGAGGCUCGAAAGUAUGGGUAGCAAACAGGAUUAGAUACCCUGGUAGUCCAUACCGUAAACGAUGAAUGCUAAGUGUUUGGAGGGUUUCCGCCCUUCAGUGCUGCAGCUAACGCAUUAAGCAUUCCGCCUGGGGAGUACGGCCGCAAGGCUGAAACUCAAAGGGAAGUUGACGG
rnacentral:rRNA from 1 species